CUCCUCCCAACGAGGCGGACACUUGAAACGGGGGACGAGCAUGGGCGGCGACGUCUACGCGCCCAUUAAGAAACGGGGGAGGUGGCAGGAGAGAAGAGCAUGCGUGGCUAGGCUGCCCGCGCGUACAUCACCCCUUAGGACCCUGCUCCUCCCCACAAAGAGGCGGACACAGUGUCAUGCUACCAUGAGGAAAGCCAGCCUAAAGGUGAGACUGGCCCAGAGGACAGAGGCAAGACAUGAGCAGAGUGCAGGAGCCGAACUGUGAUCGCACGGAAACUGAGGCCUGCCUGCCUGUGAUACUUCUAAGUUGCUUCUGUGUCUUGGCUAUCGUGCAUAAUGCUGCAAUGAACAUGGCAG